CACCGCCCGUCACAUCACGAAAGUGGAUUGUACUAGAAGUCCGCGAGCUAACCUUCGGGAGGCAGCGGCCCAAGGUAUGAUUCAUGAUUGGGGUG
rnacentral:rRNA from 1 species